rnacentral:rRNA from 1 species
AUUGAACGCUGGCGGUAUGCUUAACACAUGCAAGUCGAACGGUAGCAGGCCUUCGGGCGCUGACGAGUGGCGGACGGGUGAGUAACGCGUAGGAAUCUGCCUGGUAGUGGGGGACAACCUGGGGAAACUCAGGCUAAUACCGCAUGAGCUCGGGAGAGGAAAGCGGGGGAUCUUCGGACCUCGCGCUGGUGGACGAGCCUACGUCCGAUUAGCUGGUUGGUGGGGUAACGGCCCACCAAGGCGACGAUCGGUAGCGGGUCUGAGAGGACGACCCGCCACACUGGGACUGAGACACGGCCCAGACUCCUACGGGAGGCUG